rnacentral:tRNA from 1 species
GCGGGGGUAGCCAAGCGGCCAAAGGUGCAGGGCUUAGGACCCUGUGGCGCAGGCCUUCGUGGGUUCGAAAUAUGCACUGCCUGCA